rnacentral:misc_RNA from 1 species
GUAGGUGACCUGCGGAAGGAUCAUUGUCGAUACCUGCCUAGCAGAACAGACCCGAGAAUGCGUUAUGAACUCGGGGGAGGAGGGGCCUCGCGCCUCUCGUCCCCUUUGUCCCGGCGGGCGACCGUCGGGCGAACAACCGAACACCGGCGCGAAUUGCGCCAAGGAACCUUAACGAAAGAGCGCGCUCCCUCCGCCCCGGAAACGGUGCUUGCGGGGGGCGGCGUCGCGAUCUUCAAAUAUGUCAAAACGACUCUCGGCAACGGAUAUCUCGGCUCUCGCAUCGAUGAAGAACGUAGCGAAAUGCGAUACUUGGUGUGAAUUGCAGAAUCCCGUGAACCAUCGAGUCUUUGAACGCAAGUUGCGCCCGAAGCCACUAGGCCGAGGGCACGCCUGCCUGGGCGUCACACGUCGUUGCCCCCCCAUCCGCAACUCCCUCGGGAAUGCGGUGCGGGGCGGAAGAUGGCCUCCCGUGCGCUUCGCCGCGCGGUUGGCGUAAAUACCAAGUCCUCGGCGACGAGCGCCACGACGAUCGGUGGUUGUCAAACCUCGGUGGCAUGUCGUGGGCGCGCGCCGCGACUCGAGGGCUCUUCGGACCCAACGCUUCGCUUCGGCGAC